rnacentral:rRNA from 1 species
GACGAACGCUGGCGGCGUGCUUAACACAUGCAAGUCGAACGGAAUCCAUGGUGUAGCAAUACACCGGAAGAUUUAGUGGCGAACGGGUGAGGAUCACGUGAGAUCCGUGCCCCAGACUCUGGGAUAACAAUUGGAAACGAUUGCUAAUACCGGAUGACGUCGGAGAAUCGCAUGAUUCACUGACGAAAGAUAUUUCGGUUUGGGAGCGUCUCGCGGCCUAUCAGCUUGUUGGUGGGGUAAUGGCCUACCAAGGCAACGACGGGUAGCUGGUCUGAGAGGAUGAUCAGCCACACUGGGACUGAGACACGGCCCAGACUCCUACGGGAGGCAGCAGUGGGGAAUCUUGCGCAAUGGGCGAAAGCCUGACGCAGCAACGCCGCGUGCGGGAUGAAGGCCUUCGGGCUGUAAACCGCUUUCAGCAGGAACGAAAAUGACGGUACCUGCAGAAGAAGGAGCGGCCAACUACGUGCCAGCAGCCGCGGUGACACGUAGGCUCCAAGCGUUGUCCGGAUUUAUUGGGCGUAAAGAGCUCGUAGGCGGUUGAGUAAGUCGGGUGUGAAAACUCUGGGCUUAACCCGGAGACGCCAUCCGAUACUGCUCUGACUAGAGUUCAGGAGGGGAGUGGGGAAUUCCUAGUGUAGCGGUGAAAUGCGCAGAUAUUAGGAGGAACACCGGUGGCGAAGGCGCCACUCUGGACUGAAACUGACGUAVVNGG